AUUGAACGCUGGCGGCAGGCUUAACACAUGCAAGUCGAGCGGGGUGAUGGUGCUUGCACUAUCACUUAGCGGCGGACGGGUGAGUAAUGCUUAGGAAUCUGCCUAUUAGUGGGGGACAACAUCUCGAAAGGGAUGCUAACUCCGCAUACGUCCUACGGGAGAAAGCAGGGGAUCACUUGUGACCUUGCGCUAAUAGAUGAGCCUAAGUCGGAUUAGCUAGUUGGUGGGGUAAAGGCCUACCAAGGCGACGAUCUGUAGCGGGUCUGAGAGGAUGAUCCGCCACACUGGGACUGAGACACGGCCCAGACGCCUACGGGAGGCAGCAGUGGGGAAUAUUGGACAAUGGGGGGAACCCUGAUCCAGCCAUGCCGCGUGUGUGAAGAAGGCCUUAUGGUUGUAAAGCACUUUAAGCGAGGAGGAGGCUCUUUUGGUUAAUACCCAAGAUGAGUGGACGUUACUCGCAGAAUAAGCACCGGCUAACUCUGUGCCAGCCGCCGCGGUAA
rnacentral:rRNA from 1 species